GACGAACGCUGGCGGCGUGCCUAACACAUGCAAGUCGAACGAGACCUUCGGGUCUAGUGGCGCACGGGUGCGUAACGCGUGGGAACCUGCCCUUAGGUUCGGAAUAACUCCCCGAAAGGGGUGCUAAUACCGGAUAAUGUCUUCGGACCAAAGAUUUAUCGCCUUUGGAUGGGCCCGCGUUGGAUUAGCUAGUUGGUAGGGUAAAAGCCUACCAAGGCGACGAUCCAUAGCUGGUCUGAGAGGAUGAUCAGCCACACUGGGACUGAGACACGGCCCAGACUCCUACGGGAGGCAGCAGUGGGGAAUAUUGGACAAUGGGCGAAAGCCUGAUCCAGCAAUGCCGCGUGAGUGAUGAAGGCCUUAGGGUUGUAAAGCUCUUUUACCCGGGAUGAUAAUGACAGUACCGGGAGAAUAAGCUCCGGCUAACUCCGUG
rnacentral:rRNA from 1 species